rnacentral:rRNA from 1 species
AUGGGGCUGGAUUACUACAGCGUGCUCAAGGUCAACCGGAGCGCCACGGAGGACGACCUCAAGAAGUCGUACCGCCGGCUGGCCAUGAAGUGGCACCCCGACAAGAACCCCGGCGACAACAAGGCAGAGGCCGAGGCCAAGUUCAAGAAGAUCUCCGAGGCCUACGAGGUUCUGAGUGAUCCGCAGAAGAGGACAAUAUAUGAUCAAUAUGGGGAGGAGGGCCUGAAGGCCUCCGCGGACGCCGGUAGCUCGUCGUCAUCUAUGAAUGGCUCCACCAACCACCGCUUCAAUCCUCGGAAUGCCGAGGACGUCUUUGCUGAGUUCUUCGGCAGCAGCAAGCCUUUUGAGGGGAUGGGGCGCGCCAAGUCGAUGAGGUUCCAGACAGAAGGCGCCGGCACCUUUGGUGGGUUCGGUGGUGGCACCGAGAGCAAAUUCAGAUCAUACAAUGAUCUUGUCGGCGCCAGCUCUAGCCAGCCCCGGAAGCCACCGCCCGUGGAGACGAAGCUUACAUGCACGCUUCCAGAGCUAUACUCUGGUUCGACACGCAAGAUGAAGAUAUCCAGGAACAUUGUCAGGUCUAAUGGGCAACUAGGCACUGAAUCGGAGAUUCUGACAAUCGAUAUAAAACCCGGAUGGAAGAAAGGGACCAAGAUCACAUUUCCGGACAAGGGCAAUGAGCAGCCGAACCAGCUCGCCGCCGAUCUCGUCUUUGUCAUCGACGAGAAGCCUCAUGAUGAGUACACGAGGGAAGGCAACGACCUGCUGAUAUACCAGAAGAUCGACCUGGUGGAUGCAUUGGCAGGAACCACAGUGAAUCUGAAGACCCUCGACGGGCGUGACCUGGUGAUCAAGCUGACAGACGUGGUAACACCGGGAUAUGAGCUUGCAAUCGCCAAGGAGGGGAUGCCUAUUGUGAAAGAAAAUGGGAGGAGAGGCAAUUUGAGAAUCAGGUUCGAUGUUGAUUUCCCGAAGAGACUGUCAUCGGAGCAGCGGCAGAAUAUUAGGAAGGUUCUUGGAGGGGGAGGGCAGCCUCAGCAGUAA